rnacentral:lncRNA from 1 species
CUCGAACUCAGAAAUCCGCCUGCCUCUGCCUCCCGAGUGCUGGGAUUAAAGGCGUGCGCCACCACCGCCCGGCCAAUUGUAAUUCUUGAUUCUUUUUUUUUUUUAAAGAUUUAUUUAUUAUUAGAAUUAAGUACACUGUAGCUGUGUUCAGACACACCAGAAGAGGAUGUCAGAUCUCAUUACAGGUGGCUGUGAGCCACCAUGUGGUUGCUAGGAUUUGAACUCAGGACCUUCAAAAGAGCAGACAGUGUUCUAACCCGCUGAGCCAUCUCAUCAGCCUAUAAUUCUUGAUUCUUUGUGGGAUAUGGUUAUUUUUUUGAACUUGAUUUGACAAUGAUUAUACAAUGUCUUCUUUUCUAUCAGCUUUUGGAGUAUCAAUAAAAGACUGGGGCAAAAAAAAGAAAAAAAAAAGACUGGGGCAAGAGAAAGGCGAGAGAGCAUGAGAAGAGCUUGUGAAGAGUGAGUGAGGAGAGAAUGUGAGGUGUGUAUGGAGAGUGUGUGUGUGAGUGAAGGGAAAGUCCAUGUGGUGUGUGUGUGAGAUGUGUGUGAAGAGUGUGUGAGAGUGAAAGGGGAAUGCACAGAGGUGUGUAUGAGUAUGGGAGGUCAAGAAAAGAAAACCACAUAGGAGACUGCACUGUGCAGCCUGAAGCUGCAAGCGGAUGAUUGAGAGAGAAAGAACAGAGAGUGAGAGAAAAGAGAGAGAAACUUUAGGCCUUGAAAAAUUGCUUGUCAGUUUGUAUCCAAAACGUAGUCUGUGUCUAUUAUUCGCCUUCCAGAUAUCCCUGCUUCCGGUUGAGAACGCCAAUCCUGUGUCGAGGCUGGACCCUGGCAGAGACUAUAGAGACACACACUGAUGACGAUUAACUCCGUGGGGAAUGCAGAGGCUCACUUCUUUAUUUUUAAACUGGUGAAGCUUUAGGGUAACAGUGGGUGUGAGCAUGCGUCGGUUGAACGCCUCUCAGAUCCAGCCCAUCAAUUUACCAACUCAUCAGAUUACUCAUGCGUGCAUUCCCUGACCAAGUGAUGUCAUCUCUGAGACUUUACUCUUCCCGCACACGUGAACAACUGAAAUACGCUAAGCUUAUCUUCUAUGUCUGUGGACACUCCAGUAGCCAUCCAAACACAAUCAGGUAAGUUAUUUGUGUUAUUAUAACCAGCAAUGAAUGGUUAUAACCAUUUCUAUAACGAAAGAAUAAGGAAGCUCUCUUCCCAGGAGAGCAAGAUACAUUAGAAAUCUUAGAAAGCUAGGGACAUAUUGGUACAUAUUAUCUGCCGCUGUUUGUGCAGCAAGCAGGUCAGAGACAAAGUCUAGUUUCACAUACAAUUGUAUGAUAAAGUCUACCAGAAGUUAUGUCAUAUUCUGUGACAUUUCCUGUGGAGACAUAAAUAUCUAUUCACCCCAGAUGUGGGUAUUUACAACAGACCAAAGCCAUGAUUCCUCUCAAGUCUCGCUAGGUGAACCAAUGAGUUUUUUAGGGUUGCUUUCAGGAAUAUGGGUG